CGCGUAGGCGGGCCGAUAAGUCAGAUGUGAAAUCCACCGGCUUAACCGGUUGAACUGCAUUUGAAACUGCCGGCCUUGAGAACAGGAGAGGGGAGUGGAAUUCCAGGUGUAGCGGUGGAAUGUGUAGAUAUCUGGAAGAACACCAGUGGCGAAAGCGGCUCCCUGGCCUGAUUCUGACGCUAAGGCGCGAAAGCUAGGGGAGCGAACA
rnacentral:rRNA from 1 species